rnacentral:misc_RNA from 1 species
UCAGCAGUUCUCCACAAGGGAUGUCUUAGAAGGAAUUCUGAUCGAAGUAGCAUCUAAGCAGGAUAAGUUUGACUUGGUAAAGAUGGAAGAGGAAAAGUUUCUUCAAUUGAGGUUGAAGAGGAUAGAAGAGGAAGUGGAUAUGAUAGUGGAAGAACAGUUCUCUAAAUGGAUGUUGAAACAAAAGAAAAGGACGAAGGAAGAUCAAUGGUAUACAGAAGAGGAAAAGCUACUUCAUUUGAGGUUGGACAGGGUAGAAAAUGAAGUGGAUAAUAUGGUGGAAGAAUUGAAACAAAACAAAAGGAUGAAGGAAGAUCAACUGUCUACAGUAGAGGAAAAGCUUCUUCAAAUGAGGUUGGAGAGGGUAGAAAAUG